GAAGUUACCCAAACACUGGCACUAACUUGACAUUUUCAGAUACAGUAAGUGCUACUUGUUGGGGUAAUUUUA
rfam:Tetraodon nigroviridis chromosome undetermined SCAF12407, whole genome shotgun sequence.